AUUGAACGCUGGCGGCAGGCCUAACACAUGCAAGUCGAGCGGAUGAAGGGAGCUUGCUCCUGGAUUCAGCGGCGGACGGGUGAGUAAUGCCUAGGAAUCUGCCUGGUAGUGGGGGAUAACGUCCGGAAACGGGCGCUAAUACCGCAUACGUCCUGAGGGAGAAAGUGGGGGAUCUUCGGACCUCACGCUAUCAGAUGAGCCUAGGUCGGAUUAGCUAGUUGGUGGGGUAAAGGCCUACCAAGGCGACGAUCCGUAACUGGUCUGAGAGGAUGAUCAGUCACCCUGGAACUGAGACACGGUCCAGACUCCUACGGGAGGCAGCAGUGGGGAAUAUUGGACAAAGGGCGAAAGCCUGAUCCAGCCAUGCCGCGUGUGUGAAGAAGGUCUUCGGAUUGUAAAGCACUUUAAGUUGGGAGGAAGGGCAGUAAGUUAAUACCUUGCUGUUUUGACGUUACCAACAGAAUAAGCACCGGCUAACUUCGUG
rnacentral:rRNA from 1 species